AUAGGUGUCACACCACCAAUUACUCCCUCAAAUUUAGAACGUAUGUGAAAGUAGGCCUACUCGGACAAAAAAUAGUGCAUUUGAUGUCAUUGUUUACUUAAACUACCCAACAAAUUUGCAGAAAUAAAACUUUUGGUGAAAGAGAAAUAUAUUAAGACCAUUUUGAGCCCAAAUUUACUUGUCUAUGAGUUGACAUUAAAAAUUGAGGAUUAAUGCGCU
rnacentral:lncRNA from 1 species